UCGACCUUCGAUACUUUCGCUUGCUUUGUUUACGUGGCGGAACAAACUAAAUUGACUUCUAAAUUCACCGGGAAGAAGAAUGUGUGCAUCGCCAAUCCUGAGUCGCCUACAUGGCUUUUAAGGGGACGGUGGGAGAUGUGGUUCACCUUACCUACUGGACUAUCAACAGCAAGCAAAUUCACGGGGAAUUACGAGUAGUUUAUGACACAGUAGGUGCACAACCUGCAACCAUACCUGUUUGAGCCAUGAGCGCAGCUAGCUCCAGAAUCAGCCUACAGGGCAGAGGCUAUGGUUGAGCAGGACUGAGCAGGAAGUGAGCUACUGGUAUUUGC
ensembl:lncRNA